UACGGAGGGGGUUAGCGUUGUUCGGAAUGACUGGGCGUAAAGCGCGCGUAGGCGGAUCAGGAAGUUGGGGGUGAAAUCCCGGGGCUCAACCCCGGAAUGGCCUUCAAAACUCCUGGUCUUGAGUUCGAGAGAGGUGAGUGGAAUUCCGAGUGUAGAGGUGAAAUUCGUAGAUAUUCGGAGGAACACCAGUGGCGAAGGCGGCUCACUGGCUCGACACUGACGCUGAGGUGCAAAAGCGUGGGGAGCAAACAGG
rnacentral:rRNA from 1 species